UAGGGAAUCUUCGGCAAUGGACGAAAGUCUGACCGAGCAACGCCGCGUGAGUGAAGAAGGUUUUCGGAUCGUAAAACUCUGUUGUUAGAGAAGAACAAGGACGUUAGUAACUGAACGUCCCCUGACGGUAUCUAACCAUAAAGCCACGGCUAACUACUUGCCAGCAGCCGCGGUAAUACGUAGGUGGCAAGCGUUGUCCGGAUUUAUUGGGCGUAAAGCGAGCGCAGGCGGUUUCUUAAGUCUGAUGUGAAAGCCCCCGGCUAAACCGGGGAGGGUCAUUGGAAACUGGGAGACUUUAGUGCAGAAGAGGAGAGUGGAAUUCCAUGUGUAGCGGUGAAAUGCGUAGAUAUAUGGAGGAACACCAGUGGCGAAGGCGGAUCUCUGGUCUGUAGCUGACGCUGAGGCUCGAAAGCGUGGGGAGCAAACAGG
rnacentral:rRNA from 1 species